UGAAAUGAUUUUUGGGUGGGGCCCACGCAAUAGAUUUUUGGCCAAAAGUCUUGGCUUUAGGCAAUUCACGUGGGCAGUUUUUGGUGAUAUAUAAAGCAAUGUAAUGAAGAGAAAGUUAUGACAAGGAAGAAGGCUUGGGUGCGGGACCCCUAGUUGAUAUUUUGGCUAAAGUAAAAUGAUAUUUUCUGUCUCCUUUUUUAGGUGUGAUGGUGAGCAGUUGGGUGUGUCGGUAGAAAUUCCAAUAUAUGUUACUAGCUUGAUGAUGAUACAGAGAAUAAGAAAAUAGAGGAAUUAGAGAACAGAGAGAGAUAAAGGCAAGACACACGGAGAAAGAAAGCCGAGGGUUUACAGAGGCUGUGAGCUUUGAGGCUUUAUGAUCAGAUAAGCUAUUAUUUAUUUUGCAGAUUUCAGGUACCGAGGAUGAGCUUGGAUUGAUAGUAGCGGGCUUAGGUGAAGGAAUUGGUGUUGAGGAUUUAAUUUAAUUUAUUUGGAGAUAUUGUAUAUUAUUUAUUUGAGGAAUUAAUUUAGUAUCAAUAGAAUGAUAUUUUAUUAUUUUUGAGAUCCUGGCUGUAAUACUGAUGUAUUUGGAUUUGAAUAAAUCGAGGAAUUUAUUUAGAAAAUUCGGAGCGUGACAUCUUUUCACUCGAUUUUUUUUUUUUUUUUAACUAACCUAGAGGAUCAAAAAUAGGAGCAUGGUGCAAUGUAGUGAUCUAUUAAGCUUUCUAGCGAUAUAUGAGGUCGAGCAUUAGGUCAAUGACUCCAAAACCGGACGGCUUUAAGGCAUUAAGUGUUUAAACACCCCUAAGGACUUACAAGCUCAAAUCAAUUAGGCUACAAAUCAAAACUACCUCCAUCUAAUCAUUUCCCACUUCUCACCUUCGGGGAGAAGUCCUCACUUUUUUAUUUCCUUUUUCAACCCUUUUUUUUUUUUUAAUUGUUAACCUAGAGUUUGGGCUUCCACCUUUCGGCGCGAAAAAUUCAGUGUUUGAUGAGACUAGAAUCCCGGUUACUCAAUGAAAAGGGAUUGUUAUCCACUUUUGUUAAGAUAAAAGUUUUCAAUACACUACUAGCUCAAUUGGGAUAUAACCAAAUCAAUAAUCAACAAAGCAUGUACCCCACAAAUGAAUACUAGUAUACGCAUGUGCUAGUGUAGAAUCCUAGAGUGAAUCUUAAAAUAAUCACAGUAUCAAGAUGAUGUAGACCACAACUGCAAGCAAAAUAUCAAUCUUUCAAAAAAUUUACUCCUAAAUGGCAUCCACAAAGCAUACAAGGAGUAUUGGACUCUCAAGUCAAGCAAUUUUUAAUUUUUUAGUAUCAUGGUCCUCAAAAGAUCAAAAUCAUAGCCCAGGACUCUCAAAUCAUACCACAUACAUAGAAAUCAAGUGUGACAUGUAAAAUAUGUUAACACACCCCAAAACUUAAUCUGUACAUUAUCCUCAAUGUGCAAAGAAGCAACAGAUAAUGGAAAGAGUAUACUAAAUGGGUGAAGUAAAAGGGACCCGGCAACGAAAGCUUAGCUUUGGAAGGCGCACCUCCAAACUUAGAUUCUGAAAACCUGUCUAAAAAUGGUCACAUUAACAACUGUCAAAGCAUAUGCAUCAAUGAUAUAAAUGAAAGGUGAAACUAAGAACUGGGCAAAAAUCAUGGCAUCUAGUAAUGUAAAGCUCAGAAUAUCGAAAACUGAUAUCAAAAAUCCAUAUAUAGCAAGUAAAUCCAAAAUCAGUAUCUAUAAAUCAAUAUAUAACAAAUGCAGUGCAAGAAAUAAUAUCAAAAAUAUCCAGAAUAUCCAAAACCAGUGCAAGUGUCAAGAUAGUGCAAAAAUAUCUCAGCAAUAACAGUGCAAGUAUCAAUGACAGAUAAUGAGUAGGAGAGAGGGAAAGUGGUGGACUCAGGGAACAAGAUCUGUAGUCAUAAUAUCAGCAAUGUACUGCAGCAUGUCAAACAUCUCCUUGCUAUGGCGAGUGAGAGAAGUCGUAAAAUCUAUCCUCAAUGCUCCAAGCUCACGCCUCACCUCAGUUACGUCUACUCUCAGGUCAUCAGAUCACCUGACCAAAUCAUCGUGUCUCCCUACCAGGUCAUAAUGUCGGCUCCCCAGAUUAUCAUGCCACUUUGUGACAUCCACAUGUGUGAUACCCCAACUAGGGGUAUUACGUCAUGCCACCCACUCAUAUCAGCUUUGAAAGAAAUGAAAUCUAUGUGCAGCUGAGCUACCUAAGAUCUAUACUUAGAAUCAGUACUGGUAUGGCGAGAUUGAGUGUCGGUUUGUGCUAUCUGCUCGGUGGGAGGGACAUGUGAAGUGCCAGCCGGUUGAGAUGUAGUAGGUACAUCUGGCUGUGAGGUAGAACCUGAAAUGGUAAUGCGACGCCUCUGUCUGGGGGGAGAUCUAUCUGCUGUAGCAUCCUCUAGAGCGUCGUCUGCUGCAGCUGUUUCCUCUGCUGCUCUCUACUGCGCCUGCAGUCUCUUCAUAUCUCUAUUUUUCCUAUUCUUAAGGCAUGAAUUGUAAGCUUCGUCCACCUAGCCUGAUCAUAUACUCUCCUUUCUCUCUCUCUGCAUCAGUCUCUGAAUCUCAUUCGGGUCAAACUAAUAACCCUGAUCAAGUAGUAGUUGUGUAAUCAAGUGGCCAUAAGGUAAAGGCCAAGUCACAGCUCAAUAACUGUGUGUAUGAUGUAAAUUCUUCCAGAACUUGUGUAUGAGCUCCCAAAUAAGUGCAGGGAUAGAGAUCUAAUGAUAAACGUCAAAUAUUGCAUAUUUAAUCACCCUUAAUUGCAUUAGUUAAGCCCAUUGUUUGAUCUGUGUAUAUAAAUUAAUUCCAUUUUUAUGUUUUUGUGUUUUUACAGGUCUAAUUGCUAAAAAGGAAUAAAAAUAAGGUUUCAAGGGUUUUUAGAGCAUAAGUCAUAUCAGGCCUAAACGUCAAGUGGUUUUUAAGAAGAAAUGGCCCAAACAGGCAAUGGAUACAACCAGCACUAUAAAAGAAAAGAAUAAGCCAAGCAACAUGCUUCGCGUCCGGAUGUAAGAAUUGGCGUCCGGACGCCACCUAGCAAUACUUCGCAUCCGGACGCAGAAACUGGCGUCUAGACGCCAACUAGUAGGGCUUUGCGUCCAGACGCCAUACAUCGCAUCCGGACGCAAGGCUACGGGCCCUCAUUUUGAAUAAGUCAGAGUUUGUUCCAUCUUAAGUGGGAUUUUGAAUUUUGACGAGUUGUUUUGUUUUGAAACUCAUCUGGGGAUAAAGAGGGUGCAAAGGCUUGAAUUAAAAGAUAGAGUUUUGGAUUCUAAAAAUAUAUUGUGAGGGAGAGGAUUUUCCUUAGGGUUCUUAUGCUGAGUUUUGCAACAAUGGGUGAAAAAGGGAAAUCUUUUUCUUCUUCAAUCCUUGAAGUUGCUACCAAAUCUAUGAGAGGCUAACUUCAUUUAUAAGGAGUUAAUGUAACUUAGACCAAAUAAACAUGUAUUAAUUUGUAUUUCAAUUUAGGGAUUCUUCUUGUAUAUAUUUAAUUUCAUAAAUUAGAAGUGUUUACAUUGAAUUAA